ensembl:miRNA
AGAAGUGACCAGAAGACAGGAGUGUGAGCCUUCUUUAUGCCUGGGCAGGGCCACCAGAGGGCUCCUUGGUCUAGUGGUAAUGCCA